UCGGUUGGUUUGAGAGCGGCGCACGGGUGAGUAACGCGUACGUAACCUGCCCUUCAGUGGGGAAUAGCCCCGGGAAACUGGGAUUAAUGCCCCAUGGUACUUUCGAUCUGCCUGGAUUGAAAGUUAAAGCUUCGGCGCUGAAGGAUGGACGUGCGUCUGAUUAGCUGGUUGGUGAGGUAACGGCUCACCAAGGCGACGAUCAGUAGGGGGCGUGAGAGCGUGACCCCCCACACGGGUACUGAGACACGGACCCGACUCCUACGGGAGGCAGCAGUAAGGAAUAUUGGGCCAUGGAGGCAACUCUGACCCAGCCAUCCCGCGUGCAGGAAGACGGCCCUACGGGUUGUAAACUGCUUUUAUGACGGAAGAAACGUUGGGAUUUAUGCUGAUUUGACGGUACUUUAGGAAUAAGCACCGGCUAACUCCGUGGCAGCAGCCGCGGUAAUACGGAGGGUGCGAGCGUUAUCCGGAAUCACUGGGUCUAAAGGGUGCGUACGCGGCCUGAUAAGUCCAGAGGUGAAAGUCUGGGGCUUAACCGUACAAUCGCCUUUGAUACUGUUGGGCUUGAGUCAGGUUGAGGUUGGCGGCAAUGUGACAUGUAGCGGUCGACAUGCAUAGAUCAUGUCAUACAAACACCGAUCGCGCAAGGCAGCUGACUGUGACUGAACUGACACUGAAGCAGAAAGCGUGGGGAGCGAACAGGAUUAGAUCACCCUGGUAGGUCCAAAGCCCUAAGCGAUACUCACUCAAUAUGCCAUCCGUAGGAUUGCGUGUCCAAACGAAAGCGUUAAGUGAGCCACCUGGGGAGUACGUUCGGCAACGAUGAAGCUCAAAGGAAUUGACGGGGGUC
rnacentral:rRNA from 1 species